UACGAAGGGGGCUAGCGUUGCUCGGAAUUACUGGGCGUAAAGCGCACGUAGGCGGUCUUUUAAGUCGGGGGUGAAAUCCUGGAGCUCAACUCCAGAACUGCCUUCGAUACUGGAAGACUUGAGUCCGGGAGAGGUGAGUGGAACUGUGAGUGUAGAGGUGAAAUUCGUAGAUAUUCGCAAGAACACCAGUGGCGAAGGCGGCUCACUGGCCCGGUACUGACGCUGAGGUGCGAAAGCGUGGGGAGCAAACAGG
rnacentral:rRNA from 1 species